rnacentral:lncRNA from 1 species
CUUUUCUAGGGCCGCUCCCUCAGCAUAUGGAGGUUCCCAGGCUAGGGGUCUAAUCAGAGCUAUAGCUACCGGCCUGAGACACAGCCACAGCAACGUGGGAUCCGAGCUGCGUUUGCAACCUACACCACAGCUCACGGCAACGCUGGAUCCUCAACCCACUGAGCAAGGCCAGGGAUCGAACCUGCAACCUAGGACUUGCAAUCCUAGUCAGAUUCAUUAGCCACUGCGCCACGACGGGAACUCCUCUAAAUAUUAAUAGCAGUGGGAUUAGAGGUGAGUUUUUCUUAUUUUUGUCUGCUUUCUCUUUAGCAUACAGAGGACUGUGCUCUUCUGAUUAUAGAUGAUGCUGUAGACAUGGGACUCACGGGGACACCACAGAUACAGGUAGAUUGGAUCAUAAAUUUCAGCGCACCAUAGAUUAUACCAUUUUGUAAUGACAAAAAAAUUAUUUGUAAAAUGAAGACAAGUUAAAUUUAAACGCAUACUUUUCUAUUUCAGGAGCACGAGUCAUCAAUGUUUAAGUGUUAAGUCAGAAAGACAAACCAGAGUGGGGACAUAAGAUGAAUGCAGAACCGAAUCUCAAUCCGACACGUGUGCCCCCGAGACUUCACACAUGUGCCACAUGGAGGACAUAUGUGGCCCUAAGGUUUCCAGCAGCCCGUGGCAAAAAGGGCCGCCCGAGCAAGUCCCCAGUUCUGACCUCAGACAGGAAGACACCAGUUAAGAAGGUCUGACGCUGCCUGACGCUGGGCCCAGAUGAACGUUUCUCACGGAGAUCUUACCUGAAGGCCAGCUCUGCUGGCGGCAAGGGGAGUUCUUCUGAUGGCCUGAGCUGACUGGCCUGGUCUCACAGACAGCUCACCAUCACCCCUCGGGCUUGCCAGGCCAGGAACACACAUCCCCCAGGGCAGAGCUGCCCCAGGUCCCCCCUGUCUAUCAUUUGUACCCCAUCCUCUCAUGGCCCUUCUGCUGAUAACUGGUCAACCUCUAGUUUCUUUCCUGUCUGGUCCUCCCAGUUCAACUCAGUAUUUAGAUACUUUCCCAGCUCCCCAUCCUAGACGUGGCCCCUUGCACACAGUUGAGCCUUUUCCCUUUAUGGUUGUGGAAGCUUCUGCAAACCGGUCGGUCAGUCAUCAAAGUCCCUGUGCUUGCUUACGGCCUGGGCUGGCCCCCCUCCCAUUACCUUCUGCCCCUUCUCACCAGUCAUUCUCCAGUGAAAUCAGAGAAAAUAAACAGUUGCUGCCACCUAGAGAAGUGCACCUCAAAGCAGGUGCCUCAAUCAGGGCCAGUCCACUCAGUCCACCAAGAGAGCCAAAGUUUUGAUGGUGUCACCAGGACGGCCAAGCACUGGAGCACUGGACUUGCUCCUUGUGGGGAGUACAGACUAGUGUGGCUGCCUCAAGGUGACUUACAUGUGGGCUGAGCUCCUACCAGUCAUAAACCAGAGAACCACCUCUCAGCACCGGAUGGCUUGGAAAUCUCUAAAACGUCUUUCUCUGAGUUGGUUUGGAAACACAAUAUGGAGCUUUGCAACCAGUCUCUUGUCCGAGUAUGACAGCACCAUCAGGGAUUGAGAUCUUACUACUUCCCGGGGACUGUCCAUGACACAUUGCGUGUGUUUUCUCAUGGAACCACACCCAUCCCAGGAGGUGAGUCCUACUCUCAUAAUCCCCGUUUCCUGACUAACACAACAGCAUCCCAGGGUAGUUCUGCGUCUUACUCUAGGUCUUGCAGGUGGCUCUGGUGAAUCAGGAAUUCACACCCAGAUCUGUUUGAACCUGAAACCCAUGCAUUUACUAUUGCCCUUCACAAAGUGUCAGGGCAAUGUCUGCUGAACUUCAGGAACUGGCAGGAAACCUCUGGCUGUUUCCUCUUUAUGAGGAAGAAGUAAGAAGUAGCCUCCUCCCCUGCCUUCCCUAUUUCAGCUCUUUACAGAGAGAGCUUGUUAUUCCUGAUUUAAAAACAACUGUUCCCAUGGAAACACCCUGGCAGCUUCUCUUAGCAACCAUGGCCACCUUUCACCAAUUUAACAAAGUUGGUUCAAACACAAAAUUGCUUUUUUGAAAGUUUUCAGAGCAAGACCAAACUGACCAGUUGACCAGAGCUUAACUUCAUAUACACCUUAAGAAAAUCAUGGCAAAUUUUGUAGGCCAUGAGAAAGUGGUUUUUCUAGGAAAACAGAGCAGGUGUGCAGUUCUGGAUAGUGUUUUAAAUCUAAAACAUGAUAUGAAAACUCUCAAAUGGGACAUUUUCUUCUGGUUGACAAAAGGUUCACAAAUUGAGAGUAUUUAAGGUUUAUAGAUUGUAUUAGUUCCCUGUUGCGGCUGCAACAAAUUGUUGCCAAUUUUAUAUUUAGUUUUGUUUUGUUUAAAAAACCCCAAAUUUAACAGCUUACAGUUCUGUAGAUCACAUGUCUGACACGGAAGUCACCAGGGUCAGAACAAGGUGCUGGCAGGGUGCGUUACCUGUAUAGAAGGUCUAAGAGAGAUCCCUUUUCUAGCCUUUUCAAGCUUCUAGAAGCUGCCUGCCUGUCCUGCCUCAUGGCCGCCUUCUCCUCCUUCAAAGGCAGCAACAUUGAUCUGAGUCCUCAGGCUGCUGUCUCUCUGGCAUCUCUUGCAAUCCCCUCUUCCCCCUUUAAGGACCGACCCUGUGAUUACAUCGGCCUCUCAGGUAAUCCAGGCUAAUCCCUCUAUUUCGGGGUCAUCUGAUUGACAACCUUCAUGCCAUCUGCACCCUUAAAUCCUGUUUGCCAUGUAACCUAACACAUUCACAGGUUCCAGAGAUUAGGGUGGGGCGUCUUGGGAGAGCUAGUUUUUUUCUCGGCCACGGUGGCUAUAGCAGCCUAUGCAGGUGUCCCUCACGAGUAAGAGAAUGGUAGGGUGUCUACUCCCCUCACUCCUCCUUGUGUCCAGAAGCCAAGCAUCUUCUCACCUCAACCACCAUGGAUCUCUUUGGCCUCUUCCUUUUGUGCAUUCUGGCUUUCGGCUAGAAUAAGAAAAAAAAAGUGUGGCCCAAAGUCUUUCCCCUAAUCUUUACCCCCAACAGCAAUGCUUAGUGCCGAGAAGAGGGUGGUGGAGCAACACUAGGCCACCUAAGCAGGUAUUCUAUGGUGAUGGGGGCUGGUGUUGGGGAGAUGAUGAGGUUGCCCACGAGGGCGAGCUGGGCUGGAGCAGUUCCGACUCAAAGCUGCUGACAUUUGCAGACGACCGUGAUGGAUGCUGAAGAAAGGGCCACCUCUGUGAAGUGCAAACCUUCCCUGAAGCACGGCGGCAAUGACCCCACAAAGACAUUUACGUAGCAGGGCAGAAAACAAAUCCCCACGGUAGUCAAUAACAACGAACUGAAAGCCCUAAUUUCCCAGGGAGACAUCGUGGAGUCCUGCGCCCGGUUCUGUGGUGACGCAGAGAGGGAUGCGACGGGGGAGGGGAGAGAGAAACUCCCCAAAAGCUAGCUGACAAUUGCAGACAUGAUCUGCAAAGUCCAAAGAACCAUGAGCUGCUUCCUAAAGAGCAGAGGAUUCCCUGAGGCCUGGGGAGAGGGGAGUCAGGGGUCUGCAGACAGAGGUGAGGAAGAAAUAAGUGGUUGGUGGGAAGAAGACUUGGCCAUUUAACUGCUGAGUGACUGGGGAAGGGACUUUACCCCUCCUGCUUCAGUUUCCCUGUGUGUGGAAAGGCAGUGACUGCAGAACUCUUGGGUUAAAGCUGUUAAAGCAGGACCCCGUGCACCGUGCUGGGAACGUGGUGGGCUUGCUCUGAGCUGGGUUUAUUGGGUUUUGUUUUCUUAUAGCAAGAACACUUGGCAUGAGGUCUAUGCUCUUAACAGAUUUAUAAGUGUCCAAUCCAGGACUGCUAUCCACAGGUGUCCACAGGCACAGUGUUGUACAGCAGAUCCCUAGAACUCAUGCAUCUUGCAUGGCUGAAUUGCAUGCACCUUGACCGGGGAGUCACUUGGUCAGUGUGUUGGUUCCUGUGCUGCAGCUGUGAUGGUGAGUAUGCUUAAGGCUUCGUAGACAGAUGGGGAUGAGGGCCAUAAGUGUUGGCUGAAGAGCGAGUAAAGGAAAGAAGCAGCCACAAAGGUGGGGCAGAAACAGGAAGAGCCCAGGCAGGUGGUCUGACUCCGCUCACUUUGGAGAUGAGAGUGUCUGUUCAACGAAGAGGUCAGGAUCAAAUUGCACAGUGGUCCCAAAGGCUGCCUGAAAUCUCCAAGGAAGUCCCCGCUGCAGUGCCAUCAAAAGAGAGACACCAGGCCAUGUGCAGCUUGCACAGAGGGAGAGCUUCCAGAAUGCAUGGUUUCCUAGAAAAAGUCAGAGACCUUAGCUUGGUGACACCCUGAGCCCAUGUCCUCACUCGUAAGGUAAGGAUGGCAGUCACCUUCCUCAAAGGGCAGGAAUGAGGAUUAAAUCAGGAAAGGUCUUUCGAGUGUUCAGCACAGUGUCUGAGGUAUAGGAAGUGCUCAAAGAAUACUAACUAUUCUCAUUCCAAAGGGUGUGUCAUUUCUAGCGGUUUUCAAAAUGUGUUUCUGUGGAUUUGAGUAGUAAAACAUUUUCCCACCAAAGAAAUGUUGUAUAGGGGAGAAGAGGGCAGGCCUGGUUGAUGUGGGGGGGUCAAGGCCCAGAGCCCACCUUGCUCAGACUCCUCCCUCCCCUACGGCCUCUCCCCGGAGAAGCGCCUCCCUGUGCUCUUCAGACCUGGGCUGACCCAGCUGGUCCACUGGGAGGUCCACAGAGGCCAUGCUUUGGCCAGAGUCCGCCAUCUGGCCUCUCCAUCUGGAGCUGAGCUUGGUUUUUGACUGACCAGUUCACUGAACAGCCAGUUUGCUGAGUCGGUUUGAUAAAAGUCCGUGCACAGAAUGUCAUUCUACCAAAUGCCAAGUCAUCAAUGACUAAUUUCUGAGUUUCCCCAAUCAUCAAAAAUUUGCUCCAGUUUUAACUAGAGGUUCACAGCCAUUCGUACUGGAUCCAUGGGUGACGCUGCAGGUGCCUUCUUGUCCUCAGGAUAACCCUUAAGUCUCCCUCUCACUGCCCCCCAAUUCCACCUUCUCUACUGGGGCCCUUCCCCCCAGGUCCCUGCACCCCAAUACUCUGGGUUUCCCAUCCUUACCCUCUGCACCUUGGUUUACCCUGCCUUGCACUCCGCCCUCUGCUGCUUAGGAAGGGGUGGGGUCUGCAACCAGGCUGUUCUCAGCUGACCCUUUUCCCACCUUCCUCCAGCAGACAGGUCCCCUCUGAUCCCCCUCCUUGAGCUCCAGCCAUGGGGAGCCUGGGGCCAGACACAGAAUUAAGAGUUCCUAAAAUCUUGUUCUGAAGGCAAAAUGAAAGCUGAGCAACUAAAACUAGCCUGUAAAUCGUCUAAACCUGUUUUUUUUUUUUUUAAUUCUUCCAACCAUUUAAAUAAACACAGUUCUAGUAAAUUUUGCAAAUUAUUUGAAUUUGUUAGCCAUAUAAUGAAUUAUCUGUAGGCAGAUUGGUUUUGGGAAAAUUGACCGAAAACUGGAACACAGGCUCCAGAUUUCCAGUCCAAUUCACUUUCUUCUAAAUACCAUUUCUCAAUACUCGUUUGUAAACACAAUCAGUAAGUCUUCAUUGGUGUGGCUAAAUUUGGUUUCUUCCCUCUCUUUAUUUUUGGCAACUUUGUUUUC